CCUCACACUUUUAAAUAGAUCAUUGUUGUUUUCAAAAAUGUGCAGGAAGUUGAUAAAUUGUAAACGCUUUUCUUUUAUUUUUCGAUUAGCCUAUACCUGUAGGCGUGGCGGUUUCGGAGAAAGAGGAACGAGAGCUCACCCAGCGUCCAAAAUUUCCGCUUCGAAUGGACUUAUGACGAAUUCCUGGAGGAGCAGGAGGAGGAGCAGGAAAUCGAGGACGGCGAGGACGAGGAGGACGAUUACUAGGAUGAUGAAUAUUAUGAUGAAGUACGCGAAUCAGUGUGGCAAGAAGAAUAAGAACAAAGCGAAUUCGAGCAGCAAAACGAAGCGCAGCGAAACCAAGGUGACGAGCAGCAAACAUAGUUCGAAGCAUAUGUGACAGCUGACCAUAGUUCGAGUUAUAUUCGAGGUGCUUUCGAAGGAGUUGAUGAAUUCAAGAACGGUUGUAAGUAAUAAAAAAAAACGUCAUAUUGGAAACCGUUGCCGAGGACUUGG